rnacentral:rRNA from 1 species
UGCGCAGGCGGUUUCGCAAGUCAGAUGUGAAAUCCCCGGGCUUAACCUGGGAACUGCAUUUGAAACUACGAGGCUAGAGUGUGUCAGAGGGGGGUAGAAUUCCACGUGUAGCAGUGAAAUGCGUAGAGAUGUGGAGGAAUACCGAUGGCGAAGGCAGCCCCCUGGGAUAACACUGACGCUCAUGCACGAAAGCGUGGGGAGCAAACAGGAUUAGAUACCCUGGUAGUCCACGCCCUAAACGAUGUCAACUAGUCGUCGGGGAUUCAUUUCCUUGGUAACGCAGCUAACGCGUGAAGUUGACCGCCUGGGGAGUACGGUCGCAAGAUUAAA